rnacentral:misc_RNA from 1 species
AGAAAUACUGACUAAGCUCCAUGCUGGAACUGUCCAAGUCAGCGUCUAACUGAAAAAUCAGUAAUUAAAAGUUAAAGGGAUUUUACUGUGCAAAAUGUAAAAGUUGGAAGAGUUUUAUGUUACAUUUUUAAAUUGAGAAACUGUAAUGUUACAACUAGAUAAGCUUAUGGACAAUUAUAAAAAUUUAUCCCGGAAAUUUGUGAAUUAGAUUGGCAGGACAGACUCUUUUGGGGGCACUGGGACAAGCUGCAAUAUACGCCGAGAAACAUUACACUCAAUCUUUGCACAUAGAGUCUGCUCUAGAAGAGAUAAACAACAUACUGUGACAAAAUCAUCAAUAGAAGUGGAACACCGUGCCAUUGGAGCAGCUACCACGGAAAUUUCUUGGCUUUGGCUGUUACUGUGUGAAAUCUCCAUGUCCACAAAUGAAACGCCUAUUCUUUGGUGUGACAAUGUGGGGGCAGCAUACCUCACUGCCAAUCCUAUUUUUCAUGCUCGUAUGAAACAUGUAGAGGUAGAUUUCCACUAUGUCCAUGACAAAGUAACAAAGAAGGAAUUGCAGGUCAAGUAUCUCUCCUCUCAAGACCAACUCGCCGAUGUGCUAACCAAGCCGCUGCCAAGACAACGGUUCACUGCCUUAAGACAACAGUUGACAAUUCUACCUUUGGCAGGUUAGAAUUGAGGGGCAUGAUAAGGUGAUAAGGAUAGAUAUUAAUCUGAUAUUAAUAUAUUGUGUGUAUCUGCCAUGUGUAUCCUCUGUUUACAUCUUUUAUUAUAACUAUACUUGUAUAUAAAUAGACUUGCAAUACCAACCAACUACGUUGUACUCUUGUAUAUAUAUUGGUUAUACAAUGUACAAUGAGCAGCUUUUCAACUUUACAGUUAGUAUGGUAAAACUUGGCUUAUUGACCUCAUUUACCUUUUCUUUUCCAGAGCUGUGGGUAAUUUGGUUAAGAUACUAGUCUGGCAGAUUGAUGUUUAUUAAAUUUGUUGCCACUUCGCAUCUUUUAGGCUUUUUAUGCAUAAGAUGUGGAAGUUGUGAAUUAUUUGUGCUCAGAUGGUUGUGAAUUUCAAGCAGCUCCCAGGAGCAUUAAUGGAAUGUGUUUGAAAGAAAGUCUAGUCAAUACUUGAAAGUUCAUCAAUUUAUAUUACAAUGCUUUUCAUUCAGUAUUAUAUUAUUGUGUUUGUAACAGGCUGCAAAAAUUGUUAAACAAGUGAACUCUGUGCUUCCUGUUUAUAAUAUGAUAGUCCCCGCUCUUCUUAAAGAUGGUGUAUGGAAUCUUUCCAAGACAUGUAGCUUUACGCUUGGUGUCCCAAUUGGCCCAUGCUCGCAAAGUCAAUUAAAAAUAUUUCUAAGAGGCUUUAUGGCUCAUUUGAGGAAGACCCUGGAUUUUUUAAGUUUGCAACAGCUGUAACAACUAAUAAUCCUGAGGAAUCAAACAUGCCUUGCUGAUGCUGUUGUUGCAAGUAUUGGAGGCUCACUGGAUCUCGUACCUAUUGUUGCUUUCCAUGGUCUUGGGAAACGUGCAGGUGUCUAUGGCGCUUUUCUUCUUGCUUGUUACGACAUCGAUAAUGAAGGGUACCAAAACAUAUGUAAAAUAGGUGAUUUUGUUUUUUUAAAGUUUCACGGAAUUUGAGUAAUUUUAAUAUUGAUGCCAUUCUCUUUUACAUUUCUUUCUUCUUUUUUCUAAUAUAUUUCUCUAAUAAUGUUAAAAUGGACAGGAAGUGGAUUUUCUAAGCAAGAGCUUGAAAAUCGAUCUAAUGGUCUUUGUUCCAAAGUGAUUCUGAAAACAAAGGUCUUUUUUAAAUUGGUAAUGCUGGAGUUCUUAUUACUUCAGCAAUUCUAACUUUAUAGUUUGGUUCCAGCCAUACUAUAUGAAUGGAGAAAAAAUUAUUCCAGAUGUGUGGUUCGAGCCCAGUGAGGUAACAAUUAUCAUCUUCCAGAACACUAUUCUAUACUCUGGUCCAUCUUGUUAUGCUUUCUUCCCAUUUAUUUUGUCUAAACUUUGGAUCUUGGAUUUUGAUGCAUAUUUUGUAUCUACACUGUAAUUGGUUGAUGGAAUUCCGUUCUUGGUUUUCACAUCCUUAACUCAUUCCUGAAUAUGGGAUGGGAAUCACCCAAAACAAUGUAAUGGGACUCUUGAAUCCUCAUAUGGAUGUAAACAAAUGACUCCAGUGUUUCACAAUGGUUAUUCUUAGGUGUUCUUUGAUUCAGACUGCAUAUGCAUGAAUAAUCUUUUCUUAGACAAAAAAAAAUCUAACACUUUUCUGCUCUGCAAAAUCCUAUGCGCAAGAUCUUCUGCGAAGUAAAUUGUUUUCCUUACAUUUUUCUUUCAGAAAUCAUAUUUUUGGUAUCAAAGAAUUGUCAGGCUCAUGGAUUUUGGCUGGUUUCUGAUGAAACUGAAAAGCUUAAAUUAACAGUGUACGAACACAUCCAGACAAGCUUCGAAAUUGAGUUAUAGGAAGUAUUAGCUUUUGAGAAACAAUAUGCUUUGCAUAGCCGAACAUAGCAUUUAGCUGCUAAAUGUCUUUUCCUAAACCUCAUCAUGUUGAUACUCAUUUCUGUCAAUUGUUAAAAAUAAAAUUGUUCUGCAAGGGUGUUUAUUUGCCUAGGUUUUAUUUGUCUAGCUUACAGAGAAAAUGAAAUAUAUUGGGGAACUUUUUGUUUCCUUGCACCAUGUUUUUGGACAUUAAUUGCUGACUUGUUAUUUUUGUUGUCAUCAUAUAUCAUUAUUAUUAUGGAAAAUGCAGGUAUGGGAGGUGAAAGUUGCAGAAUUGACUAUUAGCUGUGUUUAUUUUGCUGCAUUUGGCAAAGCAUAAAAAGACAAGGUUAAAUUCACCUUCUUAGAUAGUUGAAAAUUUAUUUUCUGCAUAAAAAGAGAGGAUCUAUGUGGAUAGUGCUGACUUCCCCAGUCACCUGAAUUUUCUAUUAAACCCUUUUCCCUUUGGGUCUUUAAUUUUCUUCCCGUUCAACAUAUGGCAGUUUCUAUAUGAAACAGAAAAUUAAAGGGAAUAAAGAUGUAUCUAAUUACUGUGAUUGGUAAUAUUGUGAUUUUCGCAUUUAGAGGCGCUUCUUUUGACAUUUUGGCUUUCCACAUUUGCAUUUGGGGGUUCCAAUGCUGGGGGUAAGCUGGUGAUGGUGAUCCUAUCAAUGCCUGAGGUUGCAGGUUUUUUCUGGUCCAAGUUCAGGAUGUUGUACUUGGAAUAGUUUCAUUUGGGUUUUUCAUAUAGUUUUUGUGAAAUAAAUGGUGCACAUCUGCUUUGGAUUGCGUUCCAAUUUGCUUCUCUUAACAGUUUCUUUAUUUGUUGAACCAAAUGAUCAGCUUCAUACUGUUUUUUGGGUUCUUGCUUUAGGGUAUUUCGCUCCGAUUUCCACGGCUAGUGAAAGUUCGGGAUGACAAGUCUCCAGAGAAAUACUCAUCAUCUGCAGAGGUUGUGGAGAUGUAUAAUGUUCAAAAGCUUAGAGAACAAAACAAACGAUGAAUCAACAACAACCAACCAAACAAUGAUCAAUCAAGAUAACAAUGAAGAUGAUUGAGGCUAAGAUUU